AACGCACGAGACCUGCGGACCUGCGGAAGGAUCAUUACCGAGUUAGGGUAGUCACUCACUGCCCGACCUCCCAACCCUGUGUCUACCACACUUUGUCGUUGCUUCGGCGGACCGGUUGACCAACUGGUCGUGACCGCCGGGGGCUGGCUCUGUCCCCCCUGGAGAGCGUCCGUCGAUGGCCCAACCACAAAACUCUUGUACCGAAAGCGUGUCGUCUGAAUUAUAUUUGAGAAAUCAAAA
rnacentral:misc_RNA from 1 species